rnacentral:rRNA from 1 species
CCUACGGGAGGCAGCAGUGGGGAAUCUUGCGCAAUGGGCGAAAGCCUGACGCAGCCAUGCCGCGUGAAUGAUGAAGGUCUUAGGAUUGUAAAAUUCUUUCACCGGGGACGAUAAUGACGGUACCCGGAGAAGAAGCCCCGGCUAACUUCGUGCCAGCAGCCGCGGUAAUACGAAGGGGGCUAGCGUUGCUCGGAAUUACUGGGCGUAAAGGGAGCGUAGGCGGAUAGUUUAGUCAGAGGUGAAAGCCCAGGGCUCAACCUUGGAAUUGCCUUUGAUACUGGCUAUCUUGAGUACGGAAGAGGUAUGUGGAACUCCGAGUGUAGAGGUGAAAUUCGUAGAUAUUCGGAAGAACACCAGUGGCGAAGGCGACAUACUGGUCCGUUACUGACGCUGAGGCUCGAAAGCGUGGGGAGCAAACAGGAUUAGAUACCCUGGUAGUCCACGCUGUAAACGAUGAGUGCUAGUUGUCGGCAGGCAUGCCUGUCGGUGACGCAGCUAACGCAUUAAGCACUCCGCCUGGGGAGUACGGUCGCAAGAUUAAAACUCAAAAGGAAUUGACGG